CUCAGGGUCUCCCUGCUAUUCUCAUUCCUGUGUCAUGAAUAAAAAUCACACAUCUAGAAUGAUAUGACUUCUUUUUGUGCCCAUUUAUUUUUUAUGAUUUUACCAAUGAUUGUAAAACAUGCUGAAUAAAGGGUAUUUUAUAGUCAGUGGCGGGGUGGAGAGAAAGUAAAAUGGAUCAGUAAUUCAGAAGUAUCUAGGCACUAACUAAGCAAAUGGCCAAACUUUCAGAGAAAACAUAGACAAGAAAAUACAGGGGAUGCCGUCAGGGGUCCAGGUCUGACAUUCAGGAAAGCAAAUACAAGGAAGCAAAAAUAUUAGAGACUCAAGCUACGUUAAUUUCAGUUACUGGAACUGAUAUAUAUUUACUAAAUACGUGGGAUUUCCCCUACAUUCAGAUAUUUAAAGCAGAAUAUUAUGAUCUGGCUAGGUGACUGAACUGGAAAUUGUCUAGGUCUCUUACAAACGUUCCAUUCUGAUUCCACAGUGUACUUACAUCACCGCGCUGGCGAUUUCUUCUUAAUUUGCGGUAUUCAAUUAGCUUUACCAUUUUAGAUUUAGUAAAAUGCGCCACUGGUCUUCACUUUUGAACACCUAAUACCCCUUUAGUAGAGGCAGCCAAGAGAUACACAGGCAUCUUGGUGAUGAAGGUACUUGACCUAUGUCAAUAACAAUUUCAUUUUGCAAAAGAUUUAGCACUUAUUUUAAGGUAUCCGGUCUACUAUGUGUAUGCCUUUUUUACCAUCUAACACAAUAGUCUUAUCUAAAACUUGCAGGAUACUUAGUCGUUGUGUUCUUAAAACACAAAGUAUGGUUCUAAAUGACCAAUUUUGAUUGCCAUAAAUCAUCGAAGAGAAAUAGUCCCAUUACUCUAUAGUCUUAUCAAACAGAUGAAUUCUGAUUAUCUUCCACAAUUUUACUGACUUGCUUUUUUACAGUCACUAGAAAGUAAAGUCUGUAUGGUUCCAAAAAGAAUUUGCAACAACUCACCUGAUAUGCAACAGAGCAUUGGCAAAUUCAGUCUUCUGAUUAAAGCAGGGAAAUAAAUAGCCAGUUUCCCUAUAACUGCGUUACUAAAAAUUUACAUUUAGAGAAGUGUGUGCACUAUUUAUUAUUUAUUGACUAUGUAUUAAGCACUAUGAAAUUGCUCUACAUAUAGAUGUAACUUUUAACCUCCCAACAAUUCCGAAAGAUAUUAUCUCAAAAUAAAAGACUAAACGUAGUUAGCAGUUGUCAUCAGUAAAUGUAGAAGAAUAACUUUAAAAGUGGGUGCGGUGGUUCACACCUGAAAUCCCAGCACUUUGAGAGGCCUAGGUGGGCUGAUUGCUUGGUCCCGGAAGUUUGAAACCAGCCUGGGCAACAUGGCAAAACCCCGUCUCUACAAAAAAUGCAAAAGUUAGCUCGCCAUGGUGGUGCGCCUGUGGUCCCAGCUACUUGGAAGGCUGAGGCAGGAGAAUUACGUGAGCCUGGGAGGCCAAGCAAUAUCUAUUUAGACAGGUAUGCAUAUAUACUAUACUUAGAUGUCUAACCACUAAUCAUUUAAACACUAGUAUUCAUGUGCAUGCUAUAUUUUCAAGCUUAAUAUCAAGCCAGGCAUGGUUGGGGAGGAAUUUGUCAAAAAAUAAAUACAAAACCCCAAGAUGAGCAGGGCAAACUGGUUCUCCAAAUAUAGCCUCUUAGGAGAGAAAGGAGGAGUAGAGUUUACCCAGCCAAGUUUCGCUUUGGAGAGCUCCCAGUGCAGCGUAACCACCAGGGCCGCUUUGGCAUUAACGUUGAUCAGAGCCAGCAAAGGCGAGGGUGGGGCCCUUCUUCUGACAAUGAAAACUCUUCACUGAGUUUGGUGAGAACAACAUGAGCUCACUCCCUAAAAGGUCUCAAAAUUCAACGGAAUUAGAAAUCAUGAGAAACAUAUUAUUAACUCUGGUGCUUCAUUUUAAACUGAAGUUACAUACAACAUAUCCUUUUAUGAAGCGGAGCUAUCUAACCUCUGUAAUUAAUGCAUUAUCUGAAGAUGAAAUCAGUUGAUCUGGGGGAAAAUGUGAUUAAUCCCCUGCAAAAUAUUCUGGGAAAAAAUCCCAAAUCCUCAUGGAUCCCCGCUCUGAGAAGUAAUGAGACCUGAGACAUAAUCUGACUGUGGUGCUAGCUCUACCGUGGACUGGGUGAGGCUCAUUUAGUCUUUUCUGCUUCAACUUUCUCCUAAGGGAAUGAGAGCAUAGAAUUGAUUGAUUUAUGGGCCAAGCAUGGUGGCUCAUGCCUGUAAUCCCAGCACUUUGGGAGGUCAAGGCAGGCAGAUCACCUGAGUUUCAGAGUUUGAGACCAGCCUGGCCAAUAUGGUGAAAACCCAUCUCUACUAAAAAUAUAAAAAUUAGCCAUCAUGGUGGCACAUGUCUGUAAUCCCAGCUACUCGGAAGGGUGAGGCAGGCGAAUUGCUUGAACCCAGGAAGUGGAGGUUACAGUGAGCAGAGAUCGCGCCACUGCACUCCAGCCCAAUGACAGUGCAAGGCUCCACCUCAAAAAAACAAAACAAAACAAGACAAAACCUGAUUGGUUUGUAACUUUCUGCUCAACUCCGGUAGUAUAUGCUUCGAGUUAAUUAGCUAACAUGUUCAUAUGGAAUCUUCUUUUCAAACAAAUUCAGGUUGCAGGCCAUUAUGAAUUGUCUUCUCAGGAAUGACAGCCAUUCCCUCCAGUAAGUUUUUAAUGGUCAGUAAGAUAUUGAGAGACAAAGGGCAAGAGCCUCAGGCUGCUGUGUUGAGACCAUUCUGUGGGAGGAAAGAACAGAAGGAAGGAGGAGGCUACUGAAAUCAUCCAGGCUUUGACCAGAGUGAUUCUGCAGAAGGGCUGAGAAGUAACUGAAUGCAUUUUGAAGUCGAUACUCCCACCCAAAGUACCUACUUUCCAAGUGAUGGAAUGCAUUGCAGAAGGAUCUUUUCCAAAGUACUGUGCACUGGCCAUGAAGAAUGUCAGCAUGAAUCAAACUCUAUACUGAAAAAAUUCAUGAGUUCAGGUCCCCUGGGUGCUUCCAGUGUCCUGAGGGUUUUGGAGAACACAUCCUCACAGGUUAGUUUGUUUGUCUCCUCCUCCUCCUUUUUAAAUAAACCUUAUCUUUCAGAACUGUUUUAGAUCUACAGAGACAUUGGAAAGAGAGAUACACUGGAUAUACCUCCACACCCAAUUUCUCAUAUUAUUAUCUUAUCUUAGUAUGGUAUAUAUAAUUUUAAUUAAUGAACCAAUACUGAUGCCUUAUUAUUAACUAAACUCUUUAUUCAGAUUUCCUUAGUUUCCCCCCACGUUCCUUUUCUUUUGCAGGAUCCCAUUUAGAGUACCACAUGUCACCUUAAGAUUCCUCUUGGCUGUGACAGUUUCUCACACUCUGCUUGUGUUUGAUGAUUUUGAUAAUUUUGAGGAAUUAUUUAUUUUUGCUUGGAUAAAAAAGAACUUGAUCAUAGGCCGAGAAUCACCUCCCAUGAUUAAUUGUCGACAUGAAGCAGAAUCGACGCUUAACAGUAUAGACCUCUGGGGAGGGCUGCGAACUGUUCAGUGUGACUCCAACAGUGGCCCUCAUCGUGGCUCUUCUCCAAGCCCACUCACCUGGCACCUCCAGGCAGCUGUUAUAUUUUCAGAGCACUUUCCUGUCUCUGAGUUGUGAUGUUUGGCAUCUCCAAAUCUUUUCCAGUCCACCUCAGUCUCAUCAGCUUCCAAAUAUUUCUCUACACCAAAAGCCCUACUUGUUUUUUUAAACUAGCAUUGCAGUCUACAUUUUUAUCAAGCAGAAAUCUUGUACUUCCUUACUCAAGGGCAGAGAGAGCUCAGUCUUCACAAACCACCAUCAUGGGCUUCAGGUCUCUGCUUCCUGGAGAGGAAGGGAGUCACUGUUUGCAUUCCGUUCCUCUUCUAGAACUCCUAGCAAUUCCUAAUGCAGCAAAGAAAAGACAAAACAAUUGAGCUGACAUUUCAAAAUAGAUUGAAUAUUCAUAUUCUCCUAGACAAAAUCACAAGAGAAGAGUUGGUUACUGAGGUGUGUAAAAAAUGCUAGAGUAGCACAGAGGAGGGAAAGCUAAACGUGUUGCUCUAGUGGAGUAAGAAGGGGACCAGCAAAAGAAGAAGGCUUCUUAGAGGUAGUACCUCAACUGAGUCUUCAGCGUGUGUGGUGGGCAGUGCCAGCAUCCCAGGUAGAAGUAACAGCUUCAGUAAAGACACAGGGGCAUGAAAUAACAGCAGAUAUUUGAGAAAGUGCCAGAACUCUGAACUGGUGCAGAGUAAAGGGACUAUGAGGGAAUGGCAGGAGGAGAGACUGGAAAGGGAAGCAGAAACGCAUCCGACUGGGAAGUGCCUUUUAUGUCACCCCAAGGUCUAAGAAUGCUGUUGAAUGCUGUGAAGUUAGAUCACCUUGCUGGCAGAGCAGUGGGGUUUAAUAUCUAGUUGGGAAAGGGGUAGGAUAAGGUGGUCAGAAGUUAGUGCCCUCAGGGAAGAGAUCUAUCAUCCGAAAUAGGGGCCAUGUAAAUGGACUGGGAAAAUACCAUAUUUAAAUUUUGAUUGAAAACAAAUUAAAAUAUUCUGACUUUGCUGAGUUGGAGAGUUGACGAAGAAUUGGCAAUGCAAGAUUUAAGACUGGUUUAGAUGAGACCUUAAAACUCUGGCUGCCUGGACCAAGAUACUCUUUGGUCAAAGAGGUCCAGGAGGCUAUUUGCCCUCUAGUGGCAACCACAAAGCAUUUUCUAUGUGCUAGAAACUGGACUAAAAUAUACAGUGCAGAAAAAAAUCGUCCCAGGAAGCCAGUGGCCACUGUGCUUCAUGAAGCUGUUUUAAUUCGUAUCUAGACUUGGAUAGCUAGCUUAAUACACAAGCUUAAUAUAAGUUAGUUAAGACAGAAAAAAAUGCUGUUUAAUAAUAAAAAUCAAUCAUGCAUACCAAUCUCUUAUUGGAAUUAUUGAACACAACUUUUCAAUACCAUCUUUAACGG